rnacentral:lncRNA from 1 species
CAAGGCCACAAACCGACCACCAUUUUCAAAACUGACAAUUUUUUCUUUGUAUGAAACAGGAACAAAGCGGUGCAAGGAAAGUGAUUCAAAAAGAGAAAAAAAAAAGAAAAAAACAAAAAAAAACAAAAAAAAAGAGAAGAGAAAAGGACCUAGUCUGAUGACUUUUCUCCUAGGAUCAAAAUCUUAGUCUGAUGAAUUUUUCUCCUAAGAUAGAAGACCUAGUCUGAUGAAUUUUCUCCCAGGAUAGAUGUCUUAGUCUGAUGAAUUUUUCUCCUAAGAUACAAAACCUAGUCUGAUGAAUUUUCUCCUAGGAUAAACGUCUUAGUCUGAUGAAUCUUUCUCCUAAGAUAACAAAAAGAGGACCUAGUCUGAUGAACUUUCUCC